rnacentral:rRNA from 1 species
GUCCACGCUGUAAACGAUGAGUGCUGGAUGUCGUGGGUAUUGACCCCCGCGGCGUCGUAGCUAACGCGUUAAGCACUCCGCCUGGGGAGUACGGCCGCAAGGCUAAAACUCAAAGGAAUUGACGGGGGCCCGCACAAGCGGUGGAGCAUGUGGUUCAAUUCGACGCAACGCGCAGAACCUUACCUGGGUUAAAUCCACCAGAAUUCCGCAGAGAUGUGGAAGUGCCUUUCGGGGAAUUGGUGAGAAGGUGCUGCAUGGCUGUCGU